GACGGAGGGUGCUAGCGUUGUUCGGAAUUACUGGGCGUAAAGGGCGCGUAGGCGGCUACGGCAGUCGGGUGUGAAAGCCCGGGGCUCAACCCCGGAACGGCACCCGAGACUGGGCGGCUCGAGACCGGGAGAGGUGGGUGGAAUACCCAGUGUAGAGGUGAAAUUCGUAGAUAUUGGGUGGAACACCGGUGGCGAAAGCGGCUCACUGGCCCGGUUCUGACGCUGAGGCGCGAAAGCGUGGGGAGCAAACAGG
rnacentral:rRNA from 1 species